rnacentral:rRNA from 1 species
UGAGGAAUAUUGGUCAAUGGGCGGGAGCCUGAACCAGCCAAGUAGCGUGAAGGAUGAAGGUUCUAUGGAUUGUAAACUUCUUUUAUAAAGGAAUAAAGUGAGGCACGUGUGCCUUUUUGUAUGUACUUUAUGAAUAAGGAUCGGCUAACUCCGUGCCAGCAGCCGCGGUAAUACGGAGGAUCCGAGCGUUAUCCGGAUUUAUUGGGUUUAAAGGGAGCGUAGAUGGGUUGUUAAGUCAGUUGUGAAAGUUUGCGGCUCAACCGUAAAAUUGCAAUUGAUACUGGCAGUCUUGAGUACAGUUGAGGUAGGCGGAAUUCGUGGUGUAGCGGUGAAAUGCUUAGAUAUCACGAAGAACUCCGAUUGCGAAGGCAGCUUACUAACUGCACUGACAUUGAUGCUCGAAAGUGUGGGGUAUCAAACAGGAUUAGAUACCC